UACGUAGGGGGCGAGCGUUGUCCGGAAUUACUGGGCGUAAAGGGUGCGUAGGUGGCCUUUUAAGUUGGAUGUGAAAUACCCGGGCUUAACUUGGGGGGUGCAUCUAAUACUGGGAGGCUAGAGUGCAGGAGAGGGAAGCGGAAUUCCUAGUGUAGCGGUGAAAUGCGUAGAUAUUAGGAGGAACACCAGUGGCGAAGGCGGCUUUCUGGACUGUAACUGACACUGAGGCACGAAAGCGUGGGGAGCAAACAGG
rnacentral:rRNA from 1 species